UGGCCGUGGCUCAGGGGUAGAGCGCUUGCCUGGCACACAUGAGGCCCUGGAUUCGAUCCUCAGUACCAA
rnacentral:tRNA from 1 species